GACGAACGCUGGCGGCGUGCUUAACACAUGCAAGUCGAACGGAAAGGCCCUGCUUUUGUGGGGUGCUCGAGUGGCGAACGGGUGAGUAACACGUGAGUAACCUGCCCUUGACUUUGGGAUAACUUCAGGAAACUGGGGCUAAUACCGGAUAGGAGCUCCUGCUGCAUGGUGGGGGUUGGAAAGUUUCGGCGGUUGGGGAUGGACUCGCGGCUUAUCAGCUUGUUGGUGGGGUAGUGGCUUACCAAGGCUUUGACGGGUAGCCGGCCUGAGAGGGUGACCGGCCACAUUGGGACUGAGAUACGGCCCAGACUCCUACGGGAGGCAGCAGUGGGGAAUAUUGCACAAUGGGCGGAAGCCUGAUGCAGCAACGCCGCGUGCGGGAUGACGGCCUUCGGGUUGUAAACCGCUUUCGCCUGUGACGAAGCGUGAGUGACGGUAAUGGGAAGAAGCACCGGCUAACUACGUG
rnacentral:rRNA from 1 species